rnacentral:tRNA from 1 species
UUAGAGAAAAGCGCUUUCGCUUGCGCGAGCGCCCAACACAAGUUGCUUGAGCGGUGCCGGAACGGUGCCGAUGAUGAGGCAGGGCCCUCUGCCUUUACUGAGCUCAGGGGCUCGUACAGCUACGGGUCUGUAGCUCAGUUGGUUAGAGCGCACCCCUGAUAAGGGUGAGGUCGGAAGUUCGACUCUUCCCAGACCCACCAUUGUCGUGCCGUUACCGCGCCUCGGCUCGUCGUCGAUACUCAUCGGCAGCACAAACGAGCACGGGGCUGUAGCUCAGCUGGGAGAGCACCUGCUUUGCAAGCAGGGGGUCACCGGUUCGAUCCCGGUCAGCUCCACCAUUCGCACCGCUCUCGAGACAAGUGAGAACGCAAACGCGGUCAGAUUCCGGCCGAGCACCUUUGGCCGGCGUCUAACGUCGUUUGCUUUUUCGGCUCUUUAACAAUUUGGAAUGAUCCGUCUAUUGAGGUCCUCGAGGACCUCAAUAAACGUCGCACUGUAUCAAUGCAUAUGACCUCAGACUUUUUGGGGUUAUAU